AGGUGGUGGAGGCCAGCAGGUGGAUGAGGGAAGGGGAGGCAAGAGGAGAGACCCGAGGCGGUCGCCGGUCUGAGUGUCAGGUGAACUGAACUUCAGUGGAGGAGACUUCUGCUGAGGAAGAGGCCCUGCUGUCCUGCCGUCUUACUGGUGCCAUUGAGGGAUCAGCGGCUGCUAUAUAUUCUCCUCGACCUCGAGUAUUUGGACUGAAGGACUCACAGACACGUUUUAUAUUUAGCUCUAUACAUUUUAAAAAGAUUUUUUAAAAAUAUUUUCUUAUUCACAAAGGCUGUAUGGAGACAUUUUGGUUAUUGCCACAGACGCUUUCUCUUACUACGGAUGGAGGAUGUUGCGGUUUUACAACCCAUGAACUGAGAAACGACUCAAUAAGUAAUAUGUUCACAUAUUCCAGUGUUAAACACAAGAGGCGAGAGCAGAGAACGAGAGUGCAGCAGUUUAGUGAAAGGAACAGGAAAGGUGAAGAAGAGGUGAGCAUCCAAAAGACGAGCAAGAGGACAGUUCCAAAGGAGACGUGACGGCACAAUAAAAGCUAGAGAAACUCACCUGAUGUAGUGGUAAUGCGUUAUUCACCACUAGAUGGAGACAACCUGGCACAGGCCUCCUCCUGCUUCACUGCCAUAAAUCCAUCACCAGAGGGCUCCACUGACCUGCCUGUUGACAUCAGAGCACACCCCUGUGUCAUGUGACCUGGCUGGAGUUGCAAAGCUGGACUCAGACCUGGCCCAGACAGAGAAACAUCUUAUGUUGGAUGCUCUUGCUAUGUGAGGAAAUGUGCAGCAUGUAUCAGUAAUUGAACAACACAAUGUGACAGAUGAUUGUGCAGGUGUCUGCUGUGAAAAUUGUUUUUUUAAUUUCUGUCAGAGAUGUGCUGUAAAAGAAACCAGAAGAAAAACACAGGAAAAAAACACAAGACUAUUAUACUUUGUUUAUUCGUGACUAUUGAAAAUAAUAUUGAAGGAAAAUAACUUUUUCUUUUUAAAAUACAAGCUGACAAAGGACAUAUUUAGUUGUUUCACAUUAUCACAUUUGGUCUCUAUUAUGCAUUUCAGAGUCACUGGGUGAGAGGUGAGGUUGGGACAGGUCACUGGUCUCUCACUGAUUAAAAUACUUUUUUGUUCUCAUAGUUAUCACUGGGGUUUUGAAAAAAAGAGAUUAAAACAAAUAAUGUUUAGGGCAAGGGUAAUUCACAAAUUAACACUUAAAUAUCAGAGAGCAUUAACUUCUUUAAAAAAAUAUUUGUUGUCAUUUAUUGCUUUUACUUUGGUUGUAAUAUCUGAAUAUAAAAUGCUUCGAACACUUAUUCACAGCAAAAAAUUAAGUCAGAAAAAAAAUCGAAACUUUCAGAAAAAGUAAAAAAACAAACAAACAAACAAAAAACUUGUGAUGGUUACUGGGUAUUGUUGUGUGA
ensembl:lncRNA